AACCAGGUAAAAGAAAACAAAAGGAAGAUAACUACCACACUGGAUUUUCAAAAUAUACAUGUAUAAAACAAUAAAAGUUAAAAGCAUUCAGUUUAUAACCAGCGCAUUCACUACACAACAUGCAACCGGGCGCUACUCCAUGUCAUAAAUAAUUACAACUAUGUUGAGCUUGUGUGUGGAAACAUGUCCUGCAGAGUUUGCGGAAGAUUCAACACAAUUUCUGCAUAUGCUGCAACAAACAAGAUGUCAGCUACUAAUUUGUCCAAAUCGAUACAUAAAAUUAAAAAUCAACAUCAAAGAAGCUUGGGCGGGUGUUUUAACGCAGAAGGAAAAAGAAUAAAAGAAGCUUCGGAAGUAAAAUCAAAGUUUCCCCUCCCAGAUUAUCUAACUUUUUGGAUUGCCCAACAUUAUCUUUAUUUCUCAAAGUAAAAAAUGUAUACUGUCACACCAUUCUGUACUUUCUUCUUCUUUUUUUUUUUUUGGAGAAGGUAAGACUAUUUUGUAUUUUAUUAAUGCUUAUUUCAUCAACUACUAUGUCUCCCUCCCAAAUAGAAAAGGAAGAUUCUGAGAACCAUUUACCAAAACAAGAACAUGACACUAGGUAUAAAGAAGUACGUCUUCAAUUCUCCAGGUAGUACUAGGCGACAAGUUCUGCAUCUACACCAAGUCUACUUCUGAAAUAAAGCAAAGCUUUCAUAAUUGUUGCCUUCUUUUUUACAGUAGACCCUAGCGGUCCAGUCCUCCGGACCAUGCACAUCGCGGGAGCUUUAGCGCAGACUGCCCUUUUUUAAUCAUGUCGCGUCUAUUACUCACCAAUGGGUUCAAUUUCCCUUGUGAUGUCCUAUGAAUAACUCUUCAACAGUAAGAUGAGGGUUUUACCCAUAGUUCAGCAAUUCUUUAUUAGUUAUACUUGCUAUCUCCAGAGAAGGAAAGCAUACAGAUUACAGGCAGAUAUGUUGUCACCAGAAGACUUCUCGUGAUUUAGCCUUUUAAUUACCACGUAAAAGAAAUGCUGAUUACAAUAGAUACUUGAGACCUUGUUAGGUUGGAUGUUGGAUGCCAAAUUUACAAAGAGAAGCUACGUCUUGCUUGUAUUGUUGUAACUGUAUUCUUAACCCUUUUUACGCUUGACAUAUUACUUAUCAUUCUAGCAACUCCGAUCUCAUAAUAAUCAAAAACUCAAAACGGCUAUAUUUAGGAGCUCUUUGUUGUUUUUCAAAGGUUAACCCAGAAAUCAGAAUUAACAGGAGCUCCUCGUGAAUAGUACAAAACAUAUUAGGAGUUCUUCAUGAAGGACACAGAAUAUGCAUUGUCAAACAAAUAACACGUAUAUUAAGAGAGGGGAAUUCAGAUAAAGAAGGCAAACCUUCCGGCAGACUCAUGGUCCGGAGUGCAUCCUCUGCAUAUGUCAAACACGCUGGGAUAGGGUGACUUCCAACUACAUUUUCUUUCUGACUCAAGGAAAUUGCAUCAGA
rnacentral:lncRNA from 1 species